rnacentral:rRNA from 1 species
CCUACGGGGGGCAGCAGUAGGGAAUCUUCCACAAUGGGCGAAAGCCUGAUGGAGCAACGCCGCGUGGGUGAAGAAGGUCUUCGGAUCGUAAAACCCUGUUGUUAGAGAAGAAAGUGCGUGAGAGUAACUGUUCACGUAUCGACGGUAUCUAACCAGAAAGCCACGGCUAACUACGUGCCAGCAGCCGCGGUAAUACGUAGGUGGCAAGCGUUAUCCGGAUUGAUUGGGCGUAAAGGGAACGCAGGCGGUCUUUUAAGUCUGAUGUGAAAGCCUUCGGCUUAACCGGAGUAGUGCAUUGGAAACUGGGAGACUUGAGUGCAGUAGAGGAGAGUGGAACUCCAUGUGUAGCGGUGAAAUGCGUAGAUAUAUGGAAGAACACCAGUGGCGCACGCGGCUCUCUGGUCUGUAACUGACGCUGAGGUUCGAACGCGUGGGUAGCAAACAGGAUUAGAUACCCUGGUAGUC